rnacentral:ncRNA from 1 species
AACGUUCAUCUUUUCUCAGCCCUCUGCAUUAACGUUCAAUUAAUUGCUGUUGGCUCCUAAAAGACGGAAGUAAGAAUCUACAAAGCCCAGCUGUAAAAAGCUGCUCCUUAAAUAGACUCCGAAGGAACGCGCC